AUUAAAAUAUAUUUUUAAUUGAAGUAAAAAUAACAGUUUUAUAUUAGUUCAGGUGUACAACAUAGUGAUUCAACAAUUCUAUACAUUAAUCAAUGCUCACUAUAAGUGUAGUCACCCUCGGUCACCACACAACGUUAAUACAAUAUUAUUGACUAUAUUCUCUAUGUUGUACUUUUCAUCUCCAUGACUAAUUUAGUUUAAAUUGGAAGCUUGUACCUCUUAAUCCUCUUUAUCCAUUUCACCCAUCCCCUACCCGUCUCCCUCUGGCAACCACCAGUUUAAAAAAAAAUUAGAAUAGAUUUUGAUUCACAAACAAAUGCUUUAAAGGCACAUCUCUUCUGACAUGUCAAGUGAUGUAUAUGGGGUAGAAAGAAAAGGACAAAUGGACAAUGUCUGCAUUGAUGGAAGAAUUAUAUAGGCACAAUUAGAAAACAGAAGGAAAACAACUUCUUUCAAGAAUUGAUUGGUACAACAGAGCGCUCAGUCAGUUAAGAAUCUGCCUCGUGAUCCCAGGGUCCUGGGAUUGAGUCCUGCGUCACUGGACUCCCUGCUCAGUGGGGAGUCUGCUUUUCCCUCUUCUUCUACCCCUCUCCCCGUACUCGUGCUCUCUCUCUUUCUCUCUCUCUCUCGCUCACUCGCUCUCAAAUAAAUAAAUAAAAUCUUAAAACAAACAAAACAAUAAAAAAUGUAUUGGUGCAGAUCAGUUCAUAGAACCAUUUUCACUUUUUAAAUCCAUCAUUUCUUGACUGCUUAUAGCAUAUAAAUCUUGUACUAUAGUUUCAUGUGGGUAUAAAGAAACUCAGUGAAAUGAUUUAUUUUUAUUUUCUUUCUCUUGCUGUUUUGAGCUCUAUGGUAGUAUCUGAGACCUCGGCAUACAGAAGGUCUGAAAUGAAAUAUGCUUCACAAAUUUCCGACAUGGAAUACCCAUAAUUAUGAUUCAGUUAAAUAAUACUAGUAGCUGGCUGUUAACAACAACAACAAAAAAAAAACUACAGUUUGUUUUUUCUUCUGUGAUACUCAGAAGGAUUGUGUUUUUCCCAUGACGCAUAGAUAUUCGCAGGAUCAUGCACAUUCUGAGUUGACCCUAUCCAUAAAGCAAAGGAGAACAGUCUUGCUUGGCUGGAGUAGUUGGUUCCAGCAUCAUGCACACCAUCACAUGGAGCCAGCCUAGAAGCUUCAUUCUGACUCUAUACACUAAGUUGCCUUUCUCUUCCCAGACCAUCCACCUCUUUGACUUUAGCUUGCUCCAUGUCUGAACACACAAAAGUCUCCUGGUGGCCUGGAUGAUCAAGAAGCAGAGAGAUGUAAAUGAACUAGUUUAGAGCCCACUUUACAAAUUGCAAAGAGAUCUGAGUUCACUGGUAUACUCUAACCUCCCCAUGACAUGAACUAGAUUGUUCUUGGUGAUUUUGAUGUCAUUUCCAAGGCCUGCAUAUUUCCCAUUUGCCAGGUUCCUCUUGGAUGUUAACACGGAGGGGUUUGCACUGGUACCGUUAAUGUCAGAGAGAUGUCUGCUGAGUUCUUAUGGAGAUUUACUCUGUAAAAUCACAUACCAGAAUGAAGCUUGUUCCUUUAACAAUUCCAGUAGAUUUCCUAGGAAAAACCUCUUCCUAGCCCAGAAAAAGCCCAUCCUC
rnacentral:lncRNA from 1 species